GACGAACGCUGGCGGCGUGCUUAACACAUGCAAGUCGAACGAUGAAGCCCAGCUUGCUGGGUGGAUUAGUGGCGAACGGGUGAGUAACACGUGGGCAACCUGCUCCAAACUCUGGGAUAACUCCUCGAAAGAGGUGCUAAUACCGGAUACGAACUAGACAGACAUCUGUACUAGUUGGAAAGCUUUUCGGUUUGGGAUGGGCCCGCGGCCUAUCAGCUUGUUGGUGAGGUAACGGCGCACCAAGGCUACGACGGGUAACCGGCCUGAGAGGGCGACCGGUCACACUGGGACUGAGACACGGCCCAGACUCCUACGGGAGGCAGCAGUGGGGAAUAUUGCGCAAUGGGCGAAAGCCUGACGCAGCGACGCCGCGUGAGGGAUGAAGGUCUUCGGAUCGUAAACCUCUUUCAGUAGGGACGAAGCGAAAGUGACGGUACCUAAAGAAGAAGCACCGGCUAACUACGUGCCAGCCGCCGCGGUAA
rnacentral:rRNA from 1 species